UAGGGAAUCUUCCGCAAUGGACGAAAGUCUGACGGAGCAACGCCGCGUGAGUGAAGAAGGCUUUCGGUUCGUAAAACUCUGUUGUUAGGGAAGAAAAAAUGUAUAGUAACUAUAUACAAAAGAGACGGUACCUAACCAGAAAGCCACGGCUAACUACGUGCCAGCAGCCGCGGUAAUACGUAGGUGGCAAGCGUUGUCCGGAAUUAUUGGGCGUAAAGCGCGCGCAGGUGGUUUAGAAAGUCUGAUGUGAAAGCCCACGGCUCAACCGUGGAGGGUCAUUGGAAACUAAUAAACUUGAGUGCAGGAGAGAAAAGUGGAAUUCCUAGGGUAGCGGUGAAAUGCGUAGAGAUUAGGAGGAACACCGGUGGCGAAAGCGGCUUUUUGGCCUGCAACUGACACUGAGGCGCGAAAGCGUGGGGAGCAAACAGG
rnacentral:rRNA from 1 species